UAUAUAAUUUCCUUCUUUCUUCUAGAACUUUCUUGCGAAAUAGUGGAAGUUUUGGACCUAUUCUAUGCCUUUAAGUGGUUUUUUUUUUUUUGGCACCACUGUGAGCCAGGAUCAUCUCCUCAUUCCAAGGUCACUAACUAAAUCAUAUAUGCAAAGAUCUCUUUUUUCCAUCAAAAGGUUCUGGGGACAAGGACCUAGUAUCUUCGAGGAUCCUCAUUCAGUCUCAUAAGGGCCCUCUUUGCUGCUUCUGAUUCGAUACCCUGAGGCUGGAGUUGUAUCAUGUGCCAGAAGUCAUAACGUUGUCCUCAUCCAUCUGAUCCACCUUUGCUCUGCUUCCUUACGUUGUCCACUCUUUCUCCUUUUCCCCAGCCCUUUUGCUUCCUUUUUCUACCCUAUCCAUUUUUUCAAGUACUUACCUCUUUUUCCUUUUCUUUUCUAUUCCCCCUUUCUGUCCUCCUUUCUUCACCAUUUUCUUCUUUUUCCUCACUUUUACCUUCUUUCCCUUCCUUCUUUUCUUUCUGCAUUCUCUUUCCCUCUACCCCUCCUCAUCUCCUUGGUGCCUUCCCCUCCACUUUCUCCUUCCUCCUUUCCCAUCUUCCUUCCCCUUCCCUUACACCAUAGUCUUCUUCUCACAGGUUUUCUCUACCUACUAUCUCUGCAGCUCCAAUCAAACAUUCUCACCUUGAACCACAUCAGGGAAUUCUUCAUCAUUUCUGGUUCGCUGACAUUAUUUUUUGUUCUUGCUUUCUAGGAUCUUGAUUCAUUUAAUUAUGAAAAAGAAAAAUCAAUUUCUGAAGUUUGAUUAAGUUUUUUCAGGUUGGCUGGGCCUGGUGGCUCACACCCAUAAUCCCAGCAUUUUGGGAGGCUGAAGUAAGCAGCAGACUUGAGUUCAGGAGUUCCAGAGCAGUCUGGCUGACAUAGUGAAACCCUCUCUCUAAAAAAAUACAAAAAUUAGCCAGAAAUGGUGGUGCAUGCCUGUAGUCCCAGCUACACAGGAGGCUGAGGCACAAGAAUCACUUGAGCCCAGGAGGCAGAGGUUGCAGUGAGCCAAGAUCACACCACUGCACUCCAGCUUGGGAGACAGAGUGAGAUUCCAUCUCAAAAAAAAAAAAAAAAAAAAAAAGUGUUUAGAGGAAGGAAUAAUAUUCUUUACAAUUUUAAUACCUGGAAAUCCCUCUUUAUUUACAAUAUUUCUUUAGACUGAGUUCCCAUAGCAAAGACUCUCUAUAUAUUUUUUAUUUACUUAAUGCCCAGCACAUGGUGUUACUCUAACACGUUUAUGAAAUGCAUGUCAUUGUGGAUUUUGUGAAAUGAAAUGCAUAUGGUUGUUUUAACUGAUCACCCAAGUUGAUUAGACUGCCGUGUCCCAUGAAAAAAGAGGAUGCUCAGAAAGCCAGUGACUGGAUAAUAAUUUGAGGAUAAUACUCAAAUUUCUAGUAGUGCUAGUCAGUUGAACCUAAAAAUGCCAUUAACCCUUUCUCAAAGAAGCAGAUUGGAGGUGAGUAGCAGUUGUGUGGCUUCUUGGUAUGCAGCUGUUCACUUUCAAAACUUAAUUUAAAACAAUAAAAAAUGUACCUCGAAAUCAUUUUGUUUCCCUAUUUAUUUAAUGUGAUUUAUUCUAAAUGCAUUUCAUAUCACCAUAAUGUAUCAGAGCUCAACCACCACCUGUUAUUUUGUAGGGGAAAUAAACAAGACCUCUCUCAUCAGAUGAGUUAAUUACACUGACAUAUUCACUCCUCCCCAGAGAUACCAUAAACUAAAAUGCUGCAGAGCUUUAAUUCAAACAAGCAGGCUGGAAACAAGAGCUAUUGCAGUGGUAUAAUUUUCUUUGGGAGAAUCAAAAGCUCAACACAGACUUGAACUUAGAGGGCAAGAUAGCUGGAGUUGAUCAAAUGGAGUCUCGUUUAGGGUCGCAUAAUAAAUCUGUAGGUGAGUUGAGCUUGAACCCAUUUCUCAAUAUUUUGGCACUGUUUUCCAACCUUUGUGCUUCCGAACAUCAUGUGGUCAUUUUUAAAAACUUGUUUCAUCUAGCAGUUUCUCUCUCCUCUCAGGUAUUUGUCUGGGGAUGGCUGUGCAUACAGAACACCAUUAGCUCCAUGAAGAAUAUGACAGAGGUACCUGGUCCUACCUGGAUUCUUGGGCAUGCGGGAAGCAGCAGCAGUAGCCACAGUGAACUUCAUCCUAAGGAACUGUUAUGCAGACGUUGCAUGAGUCUCUUGUGGGGGUGCCAGCAGCAAAACCAAGCCUUUGUGCCUAUCUGUGGUUGUGACCCGUUGGAGAGACAUUGGGAGAUGAGAUACUGUGCUCACUCCUCACGGCUGAACCAAGGACCUGAGAUAUUCCAUUGCUAUCCUGUGAGGAGCUAUGGUGCAUUACUCACGAGUGACAGAACCAACGAGCUUCAUCUCCCAAGAGGCUGGUGCAUCUGUUUAAAAGGAGCAGGCGCUAUGCAGGGCCGCCCCCAUCAACCCCCCCAUGACGAAGUGCAGCGGGGGAAGGUAAGCUGCUUUUCAGUCACGGUGAGGAUGCAUCACGCAUUGAUUCUAUGCUCACUCUACUCCCACUCCCCAAAAGGAGAGGAUCAAGUCCAGUUGUGUUCUAGUAGCAGGACCGCAGGAGAAGAGGCAGUUAUUCAACAAAUAUGAUUAUGGAAGUCCUGGCUCUUUCCGUACCUCAGUUUCUCAGACCAGUGCAUACUGGGGCCAAGAGCUUGGGGCUUGGGAGUCAGUUGGGUGUCAUCAGUUCGAUGCAGGUUCAGCAAUUACAGUGUGUACCCUUGGGCCCCGACUUCUCGCUGAGUCUUGGUUUUCUCAUCUAAAAAGUAGGGAUAGUAAUGCUUGUUUCAUAAGGUCACAAGAGACAAGGAUUAUAAAGCACUCAGCACUUGCCAGGCAUAGAGCAUGGAUCAUUCCAGUAUUCAGAGAUAAAGAGAAGUCAACACAUUUUCCCUUUGAACCUCAAAGAACAGUUGGGAAUUGAAAUGAAAUUAUGGAUGGGAAAAUACUUGGAAAACAAAUACUUGGAAAACUUAAAAAUGCAAUAUCAGUGAAACGUAAUGAAAUCAGUGUAAAUAUCAAUGCAAACAGCUAUAGUGUUUAUUGUGCUGAUCCUAAUAAAAUAGAAACAUUAUUACACACUAUAAUUAUAGCCAGUUAGACAUGGAAGAUAAUUAGAUCUGCGUUAGUUUAAACCUUCCAUUUUAUUAGGGAAGAAACUGACUUUAGUAGCAAAACUUUCGUGAACCCCAGGCUGGUUGGUGCCCUUUUUCCACUCCCCACAAAGUUAACUUGUUUAAUGUGGCAGCAGUUAGAGCAUUGCUGCAUCAGGCGGAAGGUCUCUGACAUACAGACAUAAGCCUCGGUUUCUUCAUCUCUGAAAUGGACAUGAUAAUGAAACCCAACUUGCAGGGUCGUGAUGAAGGUCAAAUGUCUGGCAAGCAUGCCUAGCCCAUGAAAAGUCCUCCAGAAACAUACCACUACAUAUGAGUGUGGUCUGAUAACCCCAGAGAGUGGUUAAAAAAAAAAAGUCCUCCAGAAACAGUAAUUAUCAUUAUCCUUAUUAAUGGUAGUAAUUGAGAUGACGUCUGUACAUGGAUCCCUCUCAGAAUCUGACAUAAAUUGGGGGGAUAGUCAACAUAUAUUCAUUUGUGUGUUUGCUGAUAACAGUACCUCAAUGGUCCAAGAAACGUUGGUGGGGACUCUAAGUCUUCCUGAAGAAUUCUCCAUCACAUUGUCUGUUCCUGGACAUCCCAGGGGAGGACCUGGGAAGGCCAGUGGCAUCCUUUUGUAGGUUCAGAAACAAAAAGAGGUGUCUGACAGUCUAGAAUUCUGACAGGGGUAGAAUUAUACAAGCCAAAGGCCCUGAUACUAAUUUUGUUCUGGUCUUUGUAUUAGUCUGUUUUUAUGCUGCUGAUAAAGACAUACUCCAAAUUGGAUAAAUUAGAGAAAAAGAAGUUUAAUGGAGUCACAGUUCCAUGUGGCUGGGGAGGCCUCAUGAUCAUGGCAGACAGUGAAAGGUAUGUCUUACAUAGCAGCAGGCAAGAGAAAGAAUGAAUGCCAAGCGUAAGGGGUUUCCCCUUAUAAAAUCAUCAGAUCUCAUGAGAAUUAUUCACUAUCAGGAGAACAGUAUGGGGGAACUGCCCCCAUGAUUCAAUUAUCUCCCAAUGGGUUCCUCCCACAACACGUGGGAAUUAUGGGAGCUACCAAUUCAAGAUGAGAUCUGGGUGGGGACACAGCCAAACUGUAUCAGCCUUAGAGGAUCUGUGAACAUUUAGAGUGAGCAGCAAAAAUCAGUCAGAUGUUCUGAUAAUCCCAGACCAUUGGUUCUCAAAUUUUGGCCUGCAUCAGGAUCACCUGGAGAAUUGUUAAAACACAGGCUGUUGGCCCCACACCCUCUGGGGACCUGGGGUGAAGCCCUAUAUUUUGCAUUGUUUUUUUGAGACUGAGUCUUACUCUGUCACUUAGGCUGGAGUGCAGUGGCAUGAUCUUGGCUCACUGCAACCACCGCCUCCCAGGUUCAAGCCAUUCUUGUGCCUCAGCCUCCUGAAUAUCUGGGAUUACAGGUGUCCACCAUCAUGCCUGGCUAAUUUUUGUAUUUUUAGUAGAGACCAGGUUUCACCAUGUUGGCCAGGCUGGUCUCCAACUCCUGACCUCAGUUGAUCCACCCUCCUCGACCUUCCAAAGUGCUGGGAUUACAGGCGUGAGCCACCACACCCAGCCUGUAUUUUGCAUUUCUAACAAGAUCCCAGCUGAUGCUGAUGCACCUCUUCCAAAGACUGCACUUCAGAAUCAUGGUCUUGGAACGGCAUUGCUCCACUGCAGUACUGUUGAUAUUUAGGGCUGGCUCAUCCUGGGUUGUGGAGGAUACUGUUUGGGGUUUAGCAGUAUCUCUGGCCUCUGUUCACUAGAUACUGGUAGCAGUUUUGACAGUCAAAAAUGUCUCUAGACAUUGCCUAAUGUCCUCUGUGGGGCCAAACCACUCCUGGUCGAGACCCACUUCUGUAGACUGAGAUGAUUAGAAUUGAAUCCUCGUCACUUUGUGUCAUAGUGGUAUGACUGCAGUCACAGUGCUGUACCUCUCUAGGCUUCUUCAUCCAUUCACUGGGUACAGGAAUGUUAACCUCAUAAGAUCCAAGCAGAGACUAAGAGAUCCUUGCAGUAUCAACCUUAGCUAGCAAAUAGGAGAUGUGCUCAUAAAAACCGACUAUGCUUUUGUAGUCAGUCACUUCUGAGCUAAGGAUUGGGAGCUACUCACCCAGAUAACAGCUGGAUAUUAGUUCAGGAUGCCGAGAGGACCUUGUGGUUUUGGACUCCCUUGUCUGAAUGGGCAUGUUUAAAAUUAUUUUCUGGGGUUGCUUGAUCCUAGAUGAAGGUCUUCAAUCUCUCCACUCCAACCAGCAAUGAAUGCAUUCUAUAUGAAUCUGCUUUCUCUAUGAAAAUGCUUUCUAUAUGAAAACUUCUUGGAAAAAAACCCAUGGUACUAAGUAGAUCUUCUGUGGAGAGCUCAAAAGCAAUAACUCACAUGAAUUAACUGCUCAAUGUGUACAGGCACUGUGCUUAGUGUUUUCUCUUAUUAGAAUUUAAAACAACGAACUAAUCACUCACAUUUUCUUUCACAACUUUGCUCUAGAAGUGAACUUUCGAAUCUGGAGCAGUGCUGCCUUUUGAGUUCCCAAACAGCUGCUGUUCAGGAGUGAUCUAUGCUGGCACACACAGGGAUCAUGGAUUUUUCUUUGGCUGUCAGCUUUCAAAAUUACCCAGCAAUCCCAAAAUGAAUUUCCACUAAUCUGACAGUUUUGCCUCUCCUGACAUGAUGUACUGUAUAUUCAGUGGUCAGCAGGGACUAUUUAAUUGCAGUUAAGCCUGUGCUGUUCACUGUGGCAUUUAAAGUAGAGCAAUGUGUGAUGCGGCUACCCUUGCUGACUCUCCAGGCCCAGAUGGGUGGGUGGAACUCAGUUUUGGGGGGGAACUUUCUACCUGGGAACACUUAGUAAUUAAGUUUUACUGGCUAGCAGCUUUAGUUUUUUUUUACUUUGAAGAUUUAGAAAUGUUAGAAUCAAAACUAACAUAAAUCUCUCUACAAGGUAGAAAGAACUGAAAUAUUGGAUGAAUCUGAUGAUGAGUUAAAAAUGGAUUAGAAACUCAAGAAAGGAGAGAUGAACAUUUUUAGAGUGCAUACCAUAUGCUUGGCAGUUUUCAGAUGUUAUCUCACUUUUCUCUUAAAGGAUUCCAAAGACAAAGGGACAUUUCCCCCCCAUUUUAUAGAUGCAGAGACUGAGGUUUUAAAGAGAUUAAGUUAAUGCUGAAGAUCUCUGUGUGUGUGAGCAGAGCCAAGAUUAGAGCCCAGGUUUGUCUGCUAACAGUCUAGAUUCUUAUGCUCCACACUAAACUUCUCAAAAGAUGCUAGACGUCACCGGUUUUCAACUGCUUAUUUGACAGAUGGAGAAACUGAGGUAUAGACACUUCCAAGUGACUUGCUCAGAAUUAGGUUAUCCCAGACUCGGGAAAUGGGCCUGUGGGCAUUCAUAAGCCUAGUUACUAAGAAUAAUGCAGUACUUUGCCGCUUAUAAAGUGCUCUAACAUCCAUUAUCUCAUACUAAGUUUUGGGUUUCAAGCAAUUCUGUUAUAUGAACUGAUAACUCACAAAGAAAAGCAUUUCGAUAAGAGCUCUUUUUCCCACAGUUGAAUUUAAUGAUAAAUAUCUGCAGUAUAACCACAAAACCUACUGUAAGGUGCCGUUAUCACUUGAACAGCAAAGACUUAAGUGCAUUCACUUAUUCAGCAAAUAUUAUUAAGCUUGUAAUGUGUGCUAAGCAUUAUUCCAUGUGCUGAAAAUACUUAAGUGAGUAAAAUGUUUAAAAGUUCCCUACCCUAAGAGGGCUUACAUUUUAGAGGGCACAAGCAGAUGAUUGACUAAGUAAAUGAGUGAGAUAUAUAGCACGUCAGGUUAUAAGUGUGAGCCAGUGAAAUCAAGAUGGAAAGGACAGAAGGGAGCACUGGAAGCAGGGAUCAAGUAGAGAGGGUGAUGUUUGAAUGAAAACAAAAGAUAUGAAGAACAAGCUUUUUGAAUAUGUAGGGAAGAGUAUUCCGGGUAGAGGGAACAGCUAAUGCUAAGACCUUGAAGCAGUAAAUAUGUUUUUAUGUUUAAGGAACUGUAAAAAAGCCAAAUGCAUGAGAAGUUUGACUAUUUUUGUGUUAAUAUUCUUAUGGUACUUUAAAAAAAUUGGGCUGGGCAUGAGGACUCUCGUCUGUAAUCCUAGCACUUUGGGAGGCCAAGGUGGGUGGAUCACAAGGUCAGAGAUAGAGACCAUUCUGGCUAACACAGUGAAACCCAGUCUCUACUAAAAAUACAAAAAAUUACCUGGGCAUGGUAGUGGGUGCCUGUAGUCUCAGCUACUUGGGAGGCUGAGGCAGGAGAAUCGCUUGAACCCAGGAGGCAGAGAUUGCAGUGAGCCAAGAUCAUGCCACUGCACUCCAGCCUGGCGACAGAGCAAUAGUUGACAUUCAAUUAAUUGUACAUAUUAAAAUACACAAUUUGAUAAGGUUAGACAUAUGUAUACACUCCUGAAAUCACCACCACAAUCAGUAUAAUGAAUAUAUCCAUCACCCGCAGAAGUUUCCUGGAUCCCCUCUGUAAUUCUCUUCCGUUCUUCCCCAUUAUCUCCCCAGCCCCACCUCCAUGGCACUCCUGAUCUGCUUCUUUUUUUCACUAUAGCUUAGUUGGCAUUUUAGAGAAUUUUAUUCACAGAAUCUUGGAGUAUAUAUCUUUUGGUCUGGCUUCUUUUAGUCUGCAUAAUAAUUUUGAAAUUCAUGCAUGCAUGUUGUGUGUGUAAAUAACUCAUUUCUUUUACUUGCCAAGUAUUGUUUGAUUAUGUGGACAUUCUACAAUUUAUUUGUUUAUUCAUAUGUUGAUGGCGUUUGGGCCAUUUUUGGUAUGGAACUCUUGCAAACAAAGCCCUAUGAACACGUCUCUACAAGUCUUUGUGUGAACGGAUGCUUUCAUUUCUCCUGGUUAUGUACCUGGAUUGGCCUGAUGGAAUCAUAAGGUAGAUGUGUGUUUAGCAUUUUAAGAAACUGGAAAACUGUUUUCCCAAAUGCUUCCACCAGCUGCAUGUGAGGAUUCUAGUUGCUUGGCAUCAUCAUCAACACUUGGUAUGGUUAGCUUUAUAACCUUAGAUAUUUA